GUGUCAGCCGCCGCGGUAAUACCAGCACCCCGAGUGGUCGGGACGAUUAUUGGGCCUAAAGCAUCCGUAGCCGGUCAUGCAAGUCUUCCGUUAAAUCCAGCCGCUCAACGGUUGGGCUGCGGAGGAUACUACGUGGCUAGGAGGCGGGAGAGGCAAGCGGUACUCAGUGGGUAGGGGUAAAAUCCUUUGAUCCAUUGAAGACCACCAGUGGCGAAGGCGGCUUGCCAGAACGCGCUCGACGGUGAGGGAUGAAAGCUGGGGGAGCAAACCGGAUUAGAAACCCCCGUAGUCC
rnacentral:rRNA from 1 species